GUCUUAAUCUUCUCAGUCUUUACAAACCUUGAGAAGAAGAAAAUGGCCUCUCCAACAACAAACAUUUCUUCACUCUCCAACCCCUCCUCUUCAACAUUUCUCACCCUUUCCCCCCUGAAAAUCCGUCCCAAAAAACCCCUCCCAAUCUGGCGAAUUUGCAAAAACCCCCCUCGCCCUUCCAUAUAUAUAACAAAGGCACAACUACAGUCCUCCAAACCUCUCAUUCCCACAGCCCCCUCUCCGAUCCCGCCAAUUUCCCGUUUUGCCCCUGACCAACCCCGAAAAGGCGCAGAUGUCCUCGUCGAGGCGCUGGAGCGGGCCGGCGUGUCGGUCGUCUUCGCCUACCCCGGCGGCGCGUCGCUGGAGAUCCAUCAAGCCCUCACUCGAUCGUCGUCGAUCAGCAAUGUCCUCUGCCGGCACGAGCAGGGCGAGGUUUUCGCCGCUGAGGGUUAUGCCCGGGCGUCGGGCCGGCCUGGCGUCUGCAUCGCGACGUCGGGCCCCGGCGCCACCAACCUCGUCAGCGGCCUCGCCGACGCGCUCCUUGAUAGCGUUCCCCUUGUUGCGAUCACCGGGCAGGUUCCCCGCCGCAUGAUCGGGACUGAUGCCUUCCAGGAAACCCCAAUUGUCGAGGUAACCCGCUCCAUAACCAAACACAAUUAUCUUGUUCUUGAUGUAGAGGACAUCCCACGGAUCGUCGCCGAGGCGUUCUUCCUCGCCUCGUCGGGCCGUCCGGGCCCUGUCCUGAUUGAUGUCCCCAAGGACAUACAGCAGCAGCUUGUCGUGCCCGACUGGGACCGCCCCAUGCGGCUGCAGGGGUAUGCCUCUCGCCUCCCACUGCCCCCCGGGGUGGCCCAGCUGGAGCAGAUCCUGCGGUUGGUAUCUGAAUCGAAGAAGCCAGUCCUGUACGUUGGCGGUGGUUGCCUGAAUUCUAGUGAGGAGCUACGUCGGUUCGUGGAGCUCACGGGCAUCCCGGUCGCGAGCACCCUGAUGGGCCUCGGCACGUACCCGAUGGCUGAUGAUCUCUCGCUGCGGAUGCUUGGGAUGCAUGGAACGGUGUACGCGAAUUACGCCAUUGAUAAAUCCGACCUUCUCCUCGCGUUCGGUGUCCGUUUUGAUGAUCGGGUCACUGGGAAAUUGGAGGCAUUUGCUAGCCGGGCCAAGAUUGUGCACAUUGACAUUGAUCCGUCAGAGAUUGGGAAGAACAAGCAGCCGCAUGUGUCAAUCUGUGCUGACCUGAAAAUGUGUCUGGAGGGGUUGAAUGCAUUGCUGGAGGAGAAGAGAAAUGCUCAGAAGCUUGAUCUUGAUUUUUCUGCUUGGAGGGACGAACUCGCAGAACAGAAGAAGAAGUUCCCUUUGAGUUAUAAGUCCUUUGGAGAUGCCAUUCCUCCUCAAUAUGCGAUCCAAGUGCUCGAUGAAUUGACAAACUCCGAUGCGAUCAUAACCACCGGUGUCGGGCAGCACCAAAUGUGGGCUGCACAGUGGUACAACUACAAGCGCCCACGCCAGUGGGCCACAUCAAGUGGUUUGGGCGCAAUGGGGUUUGGGCUGCCUGCUGCAAUCGGUGCAGCCCGUGCCUCACCUGCGACAACUGUGGUGGAUAUUGACGGUGAUGGAAGCUUCCUCAUGAACGUUCAGGAGUUGGCGACGAUACGCGUGGAGGAUCUCGAUGUGAAGGUUAUGAUCUUGAAUAACCAGCAUUUGGGUAUGGUUGUUCAGUGGGAAGAUCGGUUCUACAAGGCGAACCGGGCCCAUACAUAUUUGGGGAACCCCGCAAAGGAGAACGAGAUAUUCCCAAAUUUCCUGACGUUUGCAGAGGGGUGUGGCAUACCUGCGGCCCGUGUGACAAAGAAGAGUGAGGUGAGGGAUGCGAUCCGAAAGAUGUUGGAGACGCCUGGGCCGUACUUGUUGGAUGUUAUUGUGCCUCACCAGGAACAUGUAUUGCCAAUGAUUCCCAGUGGUGGCGCUUUCAGGGAUGUGAUCACUGAGGGUGAUGGGAGAACAACAUAUUGAUCUUCUGAUGCAGUGUAAUUCUUGUAUGAAAGGGGAGGGGGCUAUUCGGUGUUGAGCUGCAUGAGGAAGUUCUCGGAUUGGAUGUACUUGAACAAACUCAUCGAUUUGCCUACGAAUGGGAUGAGGUUUGCAUGGUCAAAUAAUCAGGCUACUCCGUCUAUGUCUCGUCAUGAUAGCAUAGUUCUAAAACUUGGUGACACAACUUGAAGAGAUUUUGACCUGAGUCACCAUGAAUGUUGACCUUCAGGAACGUAUGAUUCUAGGAAGGUGGACAUUGUCAGAAAUGACUGGCGACAGGAAUGCAGGGAAGGAAACUUAUGUGAAACUGAUCGGGAUCUGCAUCAACAUAUGCUUGCAUCGUUGAAAAUGGUGCUGAGUCGCCCUACAGAAGUUUAAGAAGGGAAGGCUUUUUCAGCAGUUUUGUCGGUACUUUUACUGCCUUAGAUAUCUUAUUGAGUCACACAGUUCACAACUUUUGUGGGUUAGGAUCAUUUUUCAUUCAGGUAUGAAUUCUUGCCUCCAUGUGAGCUAACAUGACCCUGGAAUUCUUUCCUAAGUAUCUUAGGGGUUGUUUGGUUACCUGGAAUCGUACCUUUCCCAAAUAUCUUAUUCUGUUUACGUACUGGAAAAGACAUUCGAAGGACUUUAGAUACUGUGAUUUGUUCCAUGGAAUUUGUGACAUUCCCAAUGGGCUGCUUUUCUCGGACAUAGGGAGAGAUUCCAUGCAACAGUAGUGAUGAAUUUUGGUCA